GGUUCCAUAGCCGUUGAGUAGA
rnacentral:miRNA from 1 species